rnacentral:rRNA from 1 species
AAGUAUAUGCAUAUUUUAUAUGUAGAAACUGCGAACGGCUCAUUAAAACAGUUAUAAUCUACUUGACAUUUUUUCUAUAAGGAUAACUACGGAAAAGCUGUAGCUAAUACUUGCUUUAGCACUCUUGAUUAAGUUCUUGAGUGUGUACUUGUUAAGCCUUUUAAGAAAAAAGUUAUUAACUUAAGGAAUUAUAACAAAGAAGCAACACGUAAAUGGAUUUUCCAUUUUUUAGUGUGUAUCAAUCGAGUUUCUGACCUAUCAGCUUUUGAUGUUAGGGUAUUGGCCUAACAUGGCUAUGACGGGUAACGGGGAAUUAGAGUUCGAUUCCGGAGAGGGAGCCUGAGAAAUAGCUACCACAUCUAAGGAAGGCAGCAGGCGCGUAAAUUACCCAAUUCUAAAGAAGAGAGGUAGUGACAAGAAAUAACAAUACAAGGCCAAUCUGGCUUUGUAAUUGGAAUGAUGGGAAUUUAAAACCUUCCCAAAACUCAAUUGGAGGGCAAGUCUGGUGCCAGCAGCCGCGGUAAUUCCAGCUCCAAUAGCGUAUAUUAAAAUUGUUGCAGUUAAAACGCUCGUAGUUGAAUUUCAAAGAAUCGAUAUUUUAAGUAGCACUUUGUAGAUUAAUCCACAUAACUGAUACUACGUAUCGACUUUGUGCGCAUUUUUCUACUUAUGUGUUCUUUUAAUUAAAAUGAUUCUUUUUAAGAUCUUUCUUUUUUGCUUCGGCAUUUUAGGAGAUCUUGUUACUUUGAGUAAAUUAGAGUGUUCAAAGCAAACAGAUUAUAGCAUCUUUAUGCGUUUGAAUACUACAGCAUGGAAUAACAAAAUUGAACAAGUCAGAAUUUUGUUCUUUUUUCUUAUUUUGGCUUAGUUACGAUUAAUAGGAGUAGCUUGGGGGCAUUUGUAUUCAGAUGUCAGAGGUGAAAUUCUUAGAUUUUCUGGAGACAAACAACUGCGAAAGCAUUUGCCUAAAAUACUUCCAUUAAUCAAGAACGAAAGUUAAGGGAGUGAAGACGAUCAGAUACCGUCGUAAUCUUAACCAUAAACUAUGCCGACUAGGCUUUGGAUGAAAGAUUUUAAAAUAAGAGUUUUUUCUCUGAGGAGUUAAAACUCUUAGAUUGCUUCCUUCAGUGCCUUAUGAGAAAUCAAAGUCUUUGGGUUCUGGGGCGAGUAUUCGCGCAAGCGAGAAAGUUAAAAGAAUUGACGGAAGGGCACCACCAGGCGUGGAGCUUGCGGCUUAAUUUGACUCAACACGGGAAAACUCACUAGUUUAAGACAAGAGUAGGAUUGACAGAUUGAGAGCUCUUUCUUGAUUUCUUGGAUGGUGAUGCAUGGCCGUUUUUAGUUCGUGAAUAUGAUUUGUCUGGUUAAUUCCGAUAACGAACGAGAUCUUAACCUGCUAAUUAGCGGCAAAUACGAUAUAUUCUUACGUGGAAUUGCAUACUUAUGGUUUGUCUCUAUUGAGCUGCAUAAUAAUGAAGGAUCGUGAUUGCUUUUCGUGUCAAUCUUUCUUAAUCGAAUCGUUGAUGUGUUUUGUAUAUCUCGUUCUUUCAUUACCUUGCAAUCACUCAUUUGCCUUAUCAUACUGUUUCUCUUUUGCGUAAGAAUGUAUUUGCUUGAUUGUAAAGCUUCUUAGAGGAACGAUGUGUGUCUAACACAAG